CUUGAACGCUAGCGGGAUGCCUUACACCUGCAAGUCGAACGGAGUGGCGAACGGGUGAGUAAUGUAUCGGAACGUGCCCAGUAGCGGGGGAUAACUACGCGAAAGCGUAGCUAAUACCGCAUACUAUUGGAGCGGCCGAUAUCGGAUUAGCUAGUUGGUGGGGUAACGGCUCACCAAGUCGACGAUCCGUAGCUGGUUUGAGAGGACGAUCAGCCACACUGGGACUGAGACACGGCCCAGACUCCUACGGGAGGCAGCAGUGGGGAAUUUUGGACAAUGGGGGAAACCCUGAUGCAGCCAUCCCGCGUGUGCGAUGAAGGCCUUCGGGUUGUAAAGCACUUUUGGCAGGAAAGCGGUACCUGCAGAAGAAGCACCGGCUAACUAAGUGAAAGCAGCCGCGGUAAUUC
rnacentral:rRNA from 1 species